AGAGCUUACGAACUACAAGAAAUUUCAGCGUCUUUUACAGUUUUUGUGGAGUCAAGAAAUCAAUCACUUUGACCCAAUUACCUUGGAUGUCGCCAGUUCUGUCAGGGUCGGUGUGUGUUUCGUCUGCUGAAUCGAAUGGUUCAGACGGACGCCGAGGAAAGUUCAAGCGGUUUGAUGUCAUUUUGUCGAGACUUCUCUUCAGGACACUGGGCAUCAAGCGUAAGAUUGAAAAACAGAUUGGACAUCAAAAAAUGCAAGGGAUAAAAAAAGGAAAGAGACAUCAUCCAAUAAGGACACCAAGCAAAAGACAAGAGGGCCUAGUAAUCGAGAAGUGACGAGGAGGAGGGAACAAAGAACAUCAUCCAAUAAGUGUCAAGAACCACGGGAAAAACCACACCUCAAAAACUAUACAUGCAAAGGAGGAAAGACAUACAGGACAACCUCUAACAAGACUGAUACUUCAAAGAAGAAAGAAUUAUUCGAGUGAAAGAGAAGAUUCAUUCAAAGGUUCAAAACAGUUGUGCACAUUUCUGUCGACAAAAUGUUGAGUUAGAGCUAGGAUUUACUCCAAAAGCAGAGGUCUGGAAAGUUAUUUCGUGAUUUUUGUCAGUUCAAUUCAUGCUAAAGGCUGUUUAAAAAUUGAAAUUUUCCCGCC